UGGGGAAUUUUGGACAAUGGGCGCAAGCCUGAUCCAGCAAUGCCGCGUGCAGGAUGAAGGCCUUCGGGUUGUAAACUGCUUUUGUACGGAGCGAAACGGCUCUCUCUAAUACAGGGGGCUAAUGACGGUACCGUAAGAAUAAGCACCGGCUAACUACGUGCCAGCAGCCGCGGUAAUACGUAGGGUGCGAGCGUUAAUCGGAAUUACUGGGCGUAAAGCGUGCGCAGGCGGUGAUGUAAGACAGGUGUGAAAUCCCCGGGCUUAACCUGGGAAUUGCAUUUGUGACUGCAUCGCUGGAGUGCGGCAGAGGGGGAUGGAAUUCCGCGUGUAGCAGUGAAAUGCGUAGAUAUGCGGAGGAACACCGAUGGCGAAGGCAAUCCCUGGGCCUGCACUGACGCUCAUGCACGAAAGCGUGGGGAGCAAACAGGAUUAGAUACCCUGGUAGUCCACGCCCUAAACGAUGUCAACUGGUUGUUGGGUCUUCACUGACUCAGUAACGAAGCUAACGCGUGAAGUUGACCGCCUGGGGAGUACGGCCGCAAGGUUG
rnacentral:rRNA from 1 species